GAAAGCCCGAGGGCAACUGACGCUCCAAUGGAGUGAGGAAAGUCCCCUCUCCACGGUGGAUCCCAGCCGGCGCAAGCCGGUAUUCCGAGAGGGAUGGUAAAGAGAAAAGAAAUGUACGGUUCCGGGUAAAGUGUGAUAAGAAAAUUUGACGUUUCCCGGAGUACCGAUGGGAACUCUCCCUGGGUGGAGAAAGUCUAAACAGACCCCAUGAGACCACUGUGAGGGUCAGGUAAGACGCAGGCCUUGGCCAUACAGUCGAAUGUUGCCAGCCCGCAAGGGUGAACAGAAAGGGGCUUAUUCCGGGCAUUC
rnacentral:RNase_P_RNA from 1 species